rnacentral:rRNA from 1 species
UACGUAGGGCGCGAGCGUUGUCCGGAAUUAUUGGGCGUAAAGAGCUCGUAGGCGGUUUGUCGCGUCUGCUGUGAAAACCUAAGGCUCAACCUUGGGCUUGCAGUGGGUACGGGCAGACUAGAGUGCGGUAGGGGUGACUGGAAUUCCUGGUGUAGCGGUGGAAUGCGCAGAUAUCAGGAGGAACACCGAUGGCGAAGGCAGGUCACUGGGCCGCAACUGACGCUGAGGAGCGAAAGCAUGGGGGAGCGAACAGG